GGUUCCAUAGUGUAGUGGUUAUCACAUCUGCUUCACACGCAGAAGGUCCUGGGUUCAGUCCCCAGUGGAACCA